rnacentral:rRNA from 1 species
UACGGGGGGGGCAAGCGUUGUUCGGAAUUACUGGGCGUAAAGCGCGCGUAGGCGGCUUUGUAAGUCAGGAGUGAAAUCCCGGGGCUCAACCUCGGAACUGCCUUUGAUACUGCAAAUCUCGAGUCCGGAAGAGGUGAGUGGAAUUCCUAGUGUAGAGGUGAAAUUCGUAGAUAUUAGGAAGAACACCAGUGGCGAAGGCGGCUCACUGGUCCGGUACUGACGCUGAGGUGCGAAAGCCAGGGGAGCAAACGGG